GUGGGGAAUCUUAGACAAUGGGCGCAAGCCUGAUCUAGCCAUGCCGCGUGAGCGAUGAAGGCCUUAGGGUUGUAAAGCUCUUUCGCUGGGGAAGAUAAUGACUGUAGUCGGAAAAUAAGCCCCGACUAACUUCGUGCCAGCAGCCGCGGUAAUACGAAGGGGGCGAGCGUUAUUCGGAAUCACUGGGCGUAAAGCGUGCGUAGGCGGCUUUGCAAGUUGGGAGUGAAAGCCCAGGGCUCAACCCUGGAAUUGCUCUCAAAACUGCAAGGCUCGAAUUCGGGAGAGGAUAGCGGAAUUGUCAGUGUAGCAGUGAAAUGCGUAGAUAUUGACAGGAACACCAGUGGCGUAAGCGGCUAUCUGGACCGAUAUUGACGCUGAGGCACGAAAGCGUGGGGAUCAAACAGGAUUAGAUACCCCAGUAGUCC
rnacentral:rRNA from 1 species